AGUGAACGCUGGCGGUAGGCCUAACACAUGCAAGUCGACGGCAGCACAGUAAGAGCUUGCUCUUACGGGUGGCGAGUGGCGGACGGGUGAGGAAUACAUCGGAAUCUACUUUUUCGUGGGGGAUAACGUAGGGAAACUUACGCUAAUACCGCAUACGACCUACGGGUGGAAGCAGGGGAUCUUCGGACCUUGCGCGAUUGAAUGAGCCGAUGUCGGAUUAGCUAGUUGGCGGGGUAAAGGCCCACCAAGGCGACGAUCCGUAGCUGGUCUGAGAGGAUGAUCAGCCACACUGGAACUGAGACACGGUCCAGACUCCUACGGGAGGCAGCAGUGGGGAAUAUUGGACAAUGGGCGCAAGCCUGAUCCAGCCAUACCGCGUGGGUGAAGAAGGCCUUCGGGUUGUAAAGCCCUUUUGUUGGGAAAGAAAAGCAGCAGGUUAAUACCCCGCUGUUCUGACGGUACCCAAAGAAUAAGCACCGGCUAACUUCGUG
rnacentral:rRNA from 1 species